AUUGAACGCUGGCGGCAGGCCUAACACAUGCAAGUCGAACGGAUCCUUCGGGAUUAGUGGCGGACGGGUGAGUAACGCGUGGGAACAUACCCUUUGGUACGGAAUAGCCUCGGGAAACUGGGAGUAAUACCGUAUGUGGUCGAGAGACGAAAGAUUUAUCGCCAAAGGAUUGGCCCGCGUUGGAUUAGGUAGUUGGUGGGGGAAUGGCCUACCAAGCCGACGAUCCAUAGCUGGUUUGAGAGGAUGAUCAGCCACACUGGGAAUGAGACACGGCCCAGACUCCUACGGGAGGCAGCAGUGGGGAAUCUUAGACAAUGGGGGAAACCCUGAUCUAGCCAUGCCGCGUGAUCGAUGAAGGCCUUAGGGUUGUAAAGAUCUUUCAGGUGGGAAGAUAAUGACUGUACCACCAGAAGAAGCCCCGGCUAACUCCGUGCCAGCCGCCGCGGUAA
rnacentral:rRNA from 1 species